GACAAGCCGGCGCAGAGGGCGCUGGGGUCUGGGAGUUAAUGGGAGGAGGCGGGGCUGGAAGCCAGCCCCGGGGACCGAGAUCCCGAAGCUGGCUGGGGACCUGGGUUCCGCAGACCCCGAGACGGGAAGAGAUUCCCCGGGGAUCCGAAGCCAUUCCCUUCGGAUCUAAGCCUAGAUACCCGCCGCAGCCUUCUGAUCGCCCCGAACACUCGCCUAGCAAACCCAUCGUCUCCAUGGGCGGCUCCCACUCCCUACCGCCCCUUCCCCAGCAGGCUGCUUUGGCGUUGGGUAAAAUAAAGCUCAAGAGCGCCCUCGCCGGGCUAUGGCCUGAGCGCAGCUUCCAGAGCCGCCGCGUGCGAAGCUGCGAGCCCGUAGGCGGGCGGGGCGACCAGUGCGACCCUCUGGACGCCGCUCCCCAGCUGCCGGCUGCCAAGAGAUGGGUCUGCCCAGAACCGUUCAGCGAAGGCAAAGAGGCGACCGGUCCUCUGCACUCGCGGAAAUGAGCAUCACUAAUGGGAGGGGGCUACUGAGGAGCGGAGGCUACGGCCGCUUGUCCUCCCCGGAGGAGGCCGCGGGACAGGCGGACAGGGGUGGGAGUGGCGCUCGGAGCGCCGGCAGCUCGGCCAGAGGGUGGGGGAUGGGCUCCCAGAAGCUCCAGCCGGAGGCCGGUGCAGCGACAUCUCGCAGCCCAUCAGCUCCGUCCAGCCUGUGGUUUCCAGCAGUGGGAGCUCCGCUGUCCUCUCCUGGACCCUGUGCUUCCCCAGACUCCUGUUCCUGCGAGCAGCGGGGGUGAGACCCCAGCUGGUGUUGCAGACAGCCUAUCACCUUUCCCUCGGACUCCAGGUGUCGAAGGGUGGUGGUCAAGGUGGGGCCACUGCCAGCGACCUGAACACACAGGGAGCUGGGACCUCCCAGGAACAGAGACAGAUAGCACAGAGCCUGGCCUGGGGCCUCUCUUGCCAGGUUCCCAGGGAGGGGGCUGCUCUCUGUGGCCACAGUAGGCCGGGUCUCUGUGCAACCCAUCCUCUGUCCCUGGCCUGGGUCCCCAGGAAGCAACCUGCAGGGAGAUGAGCUGUCCUGCUGGACGUCCUGGUCCCCACCCCCUCCCCUGCUGCUCUCAUGUUCAGAUGUGCCUUGUUCUCUGGAGAGGACCUAGGCCUGCUGGGCCUGGCAGGCUAGGCUGUCCCCCACCACCACCUUGUGCUGCUCUCUCCGGGUCUCUGCAUCCCUCACUCUGUCUUUGCUCUCCCCACUCAGCUUGAGGUUUCCUCUUUCUCUCCCCCAUCCCUGUCUCCCCCCACAAGCCCUCCCCAGCAGACACAUAGACUCCAAGGCAGCCUGUGGUGUGGGCACCUCAUACCCAAACCCCCACAGAAUGAACACGCUCAGUCUACAAGCUUCACCCCAUGAACAUGCCCCUGAUUCACCCUACUAUCCCAUCAUGUGAGGAAGGGGAGCCCCACCCAGUGUAGGCCCUGCUUAUGUGCAGCUAGGGUACCUGUGUGUCCAGUGUGUGUCCAUCCACACACAGCUCACUCAUACACACACACACACACACACACACACUCAGGCCUCCUCUGCAAGGGUGGCUGGAAGGAGGGGUCCACACAUGUGAUGACAGCUGUCUCUUCUCUGGGGUGAGUUGGCUGAACUGUGACCUGGAAGGCCCAGGGCCAGCAGGCUCACCCUCCCUCUGGUGUGAGGUGGCACCCAUGACAGGUGUAUCUCCACCUCCCUUUCUGAUGCUACAAGCUCCACAUCAGGAUAAGUGAAGAGUCUCCUGUGGCCUCUAUCUCUGCGCCCCACAGGGGGCUCUUAUGUCCUCGAUUGGGCCCAGAAAAUGGUACCCAGAGAAAGAUGGUGACAGUCUCUUCCUGUAUCCAGAACUUCACAAAGAGAGCAACAAACACUCACCCAUAAAACCAAAAAGCUGUCAAAGAAAUACUGUGUCUGGUUUAUGUCCCAGGCAAAUGGUCAUUUUUCCAUAUGUAAAGAGUUCUUACAAAUCAAUAAGAAAAAUAGCAAAGCAAAAAUAUGGGUGGAGGUUACAAACAGAGAGGAAUUUAAUGAAAAAGUGCCCUCUCGGGGCCAGGGAUUUAGCUCAGUGGUUCAGUUGCCUGCCUUGCAAGCUCAAGGACCCAUGUUCGAUCCCUGGUACCAAAAAAAAAAGAAAGAAAGAAAAGAAAAAGUGCCCUCUCUUAACUAUAGAGUUGCAAACUGAAACUUCUCUGGGAUGAUUUUUCACUCACCAGAUGCACAAAGAUGAGAAAGUGCAAUGACACAAUUUAAAAGCUACAGCCAGGGAGUUAGCUGAGUGGUUCCUCCACCUGCCUCACAAAUGCAAGGACCCAAGUUCGAUCCCCAGUACCAAAAAAAAAAAAAAAAAACUAAAAACAGUUUAAAAGCAACUGAAGGGUAGGGAAGUAGACGUCCUGGAAACCAGUGGUUCAGAAUUCCAGAUACGCACACCCUUUGGCCCAGCAUUUACUUCUAGGAAUGUGUCCUCCAGAUACCUGUCAGGAAUGUGAGAAGUGAUGUACUGUGUUAUUUGCUGAAGUACUCUCCAUAAUAGCCGUAGAUUGGAAGUGUCCUAAAUGCCCACAGACAGGAGUGGGCUCAGAUGUGUCCUGGCACACAUGGCCAUGGACUAGCGAGCUGACUUGAAUCCAUCUCCAAAAUUCCGAAGGGGGUGGGAGGGGUGGGCAGAAGAGAAUUCGCUUUGUAAAAUAUUAUGUAUAAUUUAUUUACAAUGAAAUGCAGUCAUGUUUUCUUUGGUUCUAUGCACAUUGUUAAUAAAGUUCUGUGAGUUUUGACAAAUGCAUACAUUUGCUAUAAUCGCCACUUCUGUCAAAAUACUAAGCACCAACAUCACCCCAGAAGUAAGACUUGACUUGUCACGGUACACCCAUGAAUGCUGUUUGAAUUUGACACCAUGUACAGAUACUUCCCCU
rnacentral:lncRNA from 1 species